CCCACCCCAAUCCUCGAUCUGGCUCUUCACCUCACACCAACAAGGUGUCUCCCAGCAAUGACCUCUUCCUCACGCCCGCACCCUCAUCCUCCUCCUCAAGACGUCAUCGUCGCCUCCCUAGCCCAUGGCCAUGAUGACCGAUCUGGCGUUGGCGUCGUAGAUAACCCUGUGGUCCAUGACCUCGACCAGUUUGCUACGAUCUAGUGACGGAUAUGCAAAGAGAAGCCGUUGCAUGUUCAAGGGGCCGUGAGGAUGCCCACUAUGAAGCAUCUGUGUGCAUAUAUGCAACCAAUGUUUUUCUCAGGAUAAGGUUUCAGAAUGAGAAUAGUGAUAACUCUCAGCUGGUACAAAGUAAUACAUUCU